GGAUGUAGCCGUUAAGUUAGCUUAUAAUCCUAACGGAACGUUUCUAUCAACCAAUCUGAUAUGAAAAACGUUUCUGGUCCGUUAGUGUAUCUAUUCUUUUGAAUUUCUAUUGUUGGUUAAUCGAGUUUAAGUGAUUUCAGUAGUUUAAAAGACUCAAGGUUAUCAUUGUAUAAUUUAACAUUGAGUAUACAGAGUGUUUAAGACCUACUAAUGUUAAAACUAGGUGGUAUAACUAUCAUCUACAAAGUGAGUACUGAUU